UUGCGCCUACCGAGUGGAGAUACGGAAACGCCUCCAAAAUAAUCCUGUGGAUGAUUUAGCAGCUCGUAGUAGGCGCAUUU
ncrna:unclassified sequences c4-2 RNA